CUUGUUGCUAAUAGUAGGUUUUUUGCUGAUGAAUUGUCUGAUAAAUGGUCUAAACAACAAAGAUCGUUACCUCAUAUUGUUGAGAUUUCUGAUUGUCUGAUGAUAUUGAAGUUUACAUUGAGACUUUCAGAUUGAUGUAUUCUAGUAAAGAUCUUAAGAAGAAGCUUAUGAGAGAAGAUGUUUCUAAAGUACUUGGGAUUUUGAAGGAUGUUAGGAUAGUCCAACAUUGGAUGGGAGCUGUUGAUUUUUGCCGGCAGGUAGGCCUUGAUAACACUUUGGAAAUGCUUAAAUGCUCAGGUUAUUGUUUUUGAUUCAUGGCAAAACAUAAGGAAAUUUCAUUCUCUGGAUAUUUAUUUACUGUUUUUGUUUCUGUAAUUUCGUUCUGUGAUUCUUUAGUGAGAGCUGGGAUCGGUAAUUGUGGUCUAAGUAGAAGAGGAUCUCUGGAGAGGGUAGUCAUUAAAAUGUCCAAAGGUUUCCAGUAUUUAGCCUUUGGAUAACACUUUUCAUUUGGAUUUGUAGAGCGUUUUGAAUGCUCAAAUUCAUGGGUAUUUGUAAAGACAUUGAGAUAAUUAUACUCUGGAUUGUUUAUAGUCCUUCUAAUGUUUUGAAGAUAUGUUGAAAAUUUUGAUUUUUUUUUCUUAAAUUACGAAAUAAGGUACAUGUGAUAAUUGCUAAAUUAUUCUUCGGUUAUUAUCUGAACCUUUGUUGUCUUACAUUGUGGCAGUGUCUAUCUAAAGCUUUGACAGAGGAUUAGUUUGCGUACCUCAGGAUUCAGUUUCGGCUCUAUGAACCUAAUAAAGAUGGCCAGAUCUCUCUUGAUAACUUCAAAAUGGUACGUCAUUCAAAUUUUGCCUUUUGGUUCAAGUCUUAGCUAUGCGUGAACCUGCUAAAUGUGCUGCUUGUGCAUUGAUGUCACAACUUAGUGGUCAGGGAUUGAAACUUGUUCUUCCUUCUCUCCUUGAGGAGCAAUUUCAAGAAUUUUAUGAUGUUGUUAUGCCUUAUCCCAAAGCUGUCUUUUUGAAUGCCAUUGAAAAGUAUAACUGUAUGAUCCGUGCUAAAUGUAUGGAGUGCCUUAGUUUGGUUAAAAUGAUGUUUAGGAGGACAAGCUUGAGAUGAUGCUAAGCAGGAGUAUAUAGUGGUUCUUGCUUGUAAAUGGAAAGCACCAGCAUCAAGCUAGGGAUGAUUUGGAGCGAAACGAGUAGUGAAUUUGUGCCUGAAAAGCAAAGUGUCGGGAGAUAUGUAUCGGAUGAGGAUAGUCGUCGUGAUAUUGUGAAGCAUGAUUCUUCUAGAGUGGAAGUGUCUUCUGGAAAUUCAUUUGGUGGUGACAAGAACGUUAGAUACGCAGGGGAGAGAAAGGUUGGCACUGACCAUAUUUGACAUUAGUUAUCUGAAUUUAUGUUUAUUGUUGACUUCACAUAUAUGAGCAACUGGAUACUGUUGCACCGAUUGUUAAGGAUACCUGUGGUGAGAUUUUCCCGCGACAUUAAUCUUCAGUGGAGAGAAUAUUAGGUUCUGCGAGUUCACAAUCUACGAUGGCAGGUACUGUGCAUCUUUUGGAUGAAAUCUGUGUGCAUCAUUAUGAGGUUAUUAUGUGUCAUGCUCUUUCAUGAUUGUGUGCAGGCAUUCCAUUGAUCUCUGUUAGUUCACUAACUAACCUGGAUGCGCGCUGAUAAUUUGUUAAUAUUAGGGUCCACCUUUGCUUAGUUGAUUUUCUGCUUGAAUCUUUUCCAGGUAGAACAUCACGUUUUGCAAUGAGUUUGAAUGAUCCUCUUGUUUCCAUAUCAUCUGCAUUUGAUAUAAUGACUUGCGUAUUGGAUUCAGUAUUCUUUUAGUUUUUGUAUUGUUAUGCUGUUUCCAGGGUUGCUUUAUCCCGUGGAUGUCAAUUUAUCCUCUAUACAUUCUUUUGGGGAUUUGUAUUUUUAUAUACGUGAAUAGAACUUAUCGAAUCUGAUAUACUUUACAAUCUAAUCUGCAAAUUUGUCCUUGUAUAUAGGUUAUGAGAGGUACUCAUCCAACAGUAGAGUCAGCAGCGCAAACGUCACUUCAGCAGGUGAUUGUCUUUAGAGUGUCAAAUCCGAUCUCUUGUCAUUAAUCUUUUGAUUGUCAUAAAGAAUCCUUAACCUCUGGUCAUUCAAAUGGCAAAUGGUGCUCAGGGUACAUGUCCGUCUACCCCCGUCUCAGUUCAUCAGUAAGUCUAGCAUUAAUGGUUCUCUUAUGUUCUUACUUAUUGUCUUUAUCUCUAUCAUCUUCAAUUUGAAUGGUUCACUUGUACGAACUUGAUUAUGAUUUUCAACUCGGAAGGGUCUGCUACAGAAGAAGGCGUGCAAAAUACUCCCAGUAAGUCUUGAGGUUGUUAUGGAUUCUGCAAGUAUUCUUGGGCUUUUCAAAGUUAACUUCAUUUUCUGUGGUAUCAAGGUUGUAAAGCUCGAACCUGACUGAGAUAAAUCAGUGCUGGACAUGUGCAUGAAUGAAAUAUACUUCUGGGUUGAAAGCUUAGAGGAAAGAUCACAACUUUAUAACCUUGUCUUUUAAAAACCUUUUCUUUAGAUCUCAACUUUCAAAACUUUGAGUUCUUUGCAUUGGGUAGGAUCACACUUGUCAUUGCAAAAGAAUUGUGAUCUAUGGAUCACCCUUUAGAUUAUACUGGCACAGAUCACAGACAGCCAGUACUUAGAUCACACCUUUUAAGAAUGAUCCAUGUAUGUUUUUGUUGUAGUGAUGUGAAGUUUCCAGGUCCUGUAAAAGAAAUUAACCAGAUAGCUAAGCAAAUUAAGUUUCCAGGUCCUGUAAAACUUUCAAUGUGUUUCUUCUACUCUUCUCAAUUCCUCACAAAUUAAUGAAACAUAUGGGAUCUGUUGAAUACGCCCUGACUUCAAGAUAGCUAAGCAAAUCAGCCAGUUACAGGAUACAAUCAAAUUCUGGCAUUCCACAGAUUUUGGAGUUCCCCUAAGCUGUCUCUGCCAAUCUCUUUGUAGAAAAGUGAAGGUCGAAAUUGUCAACACAACACUGGAUGUUAGAUCAAAAAGUAAAAUUCAACAAAACUGUUUCCGGGAUGCAACAUCGUCAUAACAUUUUAUCUGUCAGGAAUACAAGUGAAGUUUUCUUUACAUAGUUUGGUUUAUAUGUUCAUUUGAGUGUUUCUAGGCCUUUGCAAGUGGAUGGUAGACCCCCUUGAAUCUGGAUGGUCAACUCUAACUACUUGAACUACCAAGAAUCCAUACAAGAGCAAUUCCCAUUCCUGAAUUGAUGGAAACGAACAGGGUCUCUGACGAAUAUUUCACGGUUAUAUACAAAUGAAAU